rnacentral:ncRNA from 1 species
CUGGCUCCGGUUCACGCCACCUCGUAGGGAGGGGCGACCCGGCGGCC